ACUAUAAUCCUCUUGAACAUAAAAGAUGCCAUUGGAAAAUGUUACUACAAAAAAGGAACAGGCGCAAUUGGUAUCUACUAUUUAAAAAGUAUUAUUGUGAGAAGACGACCGACCCAGGAGUGGUUAUAGGCGUUGUUUUGGGACUGGAAGUUGUCGUCGCUGUAAUUGUGGGUAUUUGCAUCUACAGAAGACGCGUGCAGCGAAAUGGAGAAUGUUCCUUCUUAGUUCAGAAGUCAUAAUGUACUCGUACAAAUCACGGGGGGAAAUUUUUAAUUGUUAGAAAGAUUUCUUUUGAUUGUCUAUACCUCUUGCUUUACGGGGUCUUGAUUUGUGAUAUUUACAGAUGGAAAAGAGAGCAUAAGGAAGCUCACAAAUAUUUAAUCCAACAGUUGUUUUUU